GACGAACGCUGGCGGCGUGCUUAACACAUGCAAGUCGAACGGAAAGGCCCUGCUUUUGUGGGGUGCUCGAGUGGCGAACGGGUGCGUAACACGUGAGUAACCUGCCCUUGACUUUGGGAUAACUUCAGGAAACUGGGGCUAAUACCGGAUAGGAGCUCCUGCUGCAUGGUGGGGGUUGGAAAGUUUCGGCGGUUGGGCAUGGACUCGCGUCUUAUCAGCUUGUUGGUGGGGUAGUGGCUUACCAAGGCUUUGACGGGUAGGCGGCCUGAGAGGGUGACCGGCCACAUUGGGACUAAGAUAAGGCCCAGACUCCUACGGGAGGCAGCAGUGGGGAAUAUUGCACAAUGGGCGGAAGCCUGAUGCAGCAACGCCACGUGCGGGAUGACGGCCUUCGGGUUGUAAACCGCUUUCGCCUGUGACGAAGCGUGAGUGACGGUAAUGGGUAAAGAAGCACCGGCUAACUACGUG
rnacentral:rRNA from 1 species